rnacentral:rRNA from 1 species
UACAGAGGUGGCAAGCGUUGUUCGGAAUUACUGGGCGUAAAGGGCGCGUAGGCGGUCUUGUAAGUCUUGUGUGAAAUCCCUCGGCUUAACUGAGGAACUGCACGAGAUACUGCGAGACUUGAGAUCGGGAGAGGGAAGCGGAAUUCCGGGUGUAGUGGUGGAAUGCGUAGAGAUCCGGAGGAACACCAGCGGCGAAGGCGGCAUCCUGGACUGGUACUGACGCUCAUGAGCGAAAGCGUGGGGAGCGAUCCGG